rnacentral:lncRNA from 1 species
CCUUGUUUCACUCCAAAUAUAUGUGCCACAAGGCACACACGUGGCGUAGGGACCCUGGCAUAGGGACCUUCAUCCUCUGACACAACAGUGACAAGGAGGUCAGACAUGUCCAGCAUGCCCUACAUGGGAGCAGGCUUGGAGAAGACCCAAGCAUGUCCCGUAAGGACAUGCCAGCCUCUGUCCAUGCGCAGUGGUGGCCGUGUGUCUCAGCCUUUCCUGCUUUCGCUUCUCUUCACAGGAUUUACUUCUGCCCUGGUGAUCGAUGGUCUCUUGUUGGGCUGGAAAACAGCACAAACAGAGGCAUUUACAAACCCGCUGUCUCUCCAGCAGGGCCAUAACUCAGGCUCUCCGUCACCACGGGAAAUGGGAGGCAGGCGUUCCUGCUCCGGCUGCAGCGAUAGCGCCGAUCCUUCCCCUCUCGUGGGAGGCUCCCGGGUCGGCAGCGUCACGCCUGGAGGGUUGGCCGCUCGCUGA